GAUGAACGCUGGCGGCGUGCCUAAUACAUGCAAGUCGAGCGAACAGAUGAGGAGCUUGCUCCUCUGACGUUAGCGGCGGACGGGUGAGUAACACGUGGAUAACCUACCUAUAAGACUGGGAUAAUUUCGGGAAACCGGAGCUUAUACCGGAUAAUAUAUUGAACCGCAUGGUUCAAUAGUGAAAGUCGGUUUUGUUGUCACUUAUCGAUGGAUCCGCGCCGCAUUAGCUAGUUGGUAAGGUAACGGCUUAUCAAGGCAACGAUGCGUAGCCGACCUGAGAGGGUGAUCGGCCACACGGGAACUGAGACACGGUCCAGACUCCUACGGGAGGCAGCAGUAGGGAAUCUUCCGCAAUGGGCGAAAGCCUGACGGAGCAACGCCGCGUGAGUGAUGAAGGUCUUCGGAUCGUAAAACUCUGUUAUUAGGGAAGAACAAAUGUGUAAGUAACUAUGCACGUCUUGACGGUACCUAAUCAGAAAGCCACGGCUAACUACGUG
rnacentral:rRNA from 1 species